rnacentral:rRNA from 1 species
UACGUAGGGUGCGAGCGUUAAUCGGAAUUACUGGGCGUAAAGCGUGCGCAGGCGGUUGUGUAAGACAGAUGUGAAAUCCCCGGGCUCAACCUGGGAACCGCAUUUGUGACUGCACAGCUGGAGUGCGGCAGAGGGGGAUGGAAUUCCGCGUGUAGCAGUGAAAUGCGUAGAUAUGCGGAGGAACACCGAUGGCGAAGGCAAUCCCCUGGGCCUGCACUGACGCUCAUGCACGAAAGCGUGGGGAGCAAACAGG